rnacentral:rRNA from 1 species
UACGUAGGGGGCAAGCGUUUGUCCGGAUUUAUUGGGCGUAAAGCGCGCGUAGGCGGCAAGGUAUGUCGUGCGUGAAAUCUCCCGGCUUAACUGGGAGGGGCCGUGCGAAACUGCCUGGCUUGAGGUCGGAAGGGGAAAGUGGAAUUCCUGGUGUAGCGGUGGAAUGCGCAGAUAUCAGGAGGAACACCGGUGGCGAAGGCGGGUCUCUGGGCAGUAACUGACGCUGAGAAGCGAAAGCGUGGGGAGCGAACAGG